AGACCCGAAACCCGGUGAUCUAGCCAUGGGCAGGUUGAAGGUUGGGUAACACUAACUGGAGGACCGAACCGACUAAUGUUGAAAAAUUAGCGGAUGACCUGUGGCUGGGGGUGAAAGGCCAAUCAAACCGGGAGAUAGCUGGUUCUCCCCGAAAGCUAUUUAGGUAGCGCCUCGUGAAUUCAUCUCCGGGGGUAGAGCACUGUUUCGGCUAGGGGGCCAUCCCGGCUUACCAACCCGAUGCAAACUGCGAAUACCGGAGAAUGUUAUCACGGGAGACACACGGCGGGUGCUAACGUCCGUCGUGAAGAGGGAAACAACCCAGACCGCCAGCUAAGGUCCCAAAGUCAUGGUUAAGUGGGAAACGAUGUGGGAAGGCCCAGACAGCCAGGAUGUUGGCUUAGAAGCAGCCAUCAUUUAAAGAAAGCGUAAUAGCUCACUGGUCGAGUCGGCCUGCGCGGAAGAUGUAACGGGGCUAAACCAUGCACCGAAGCUGCGGCAGCGACACUCAGGUGUUGUUGGGUAGGGGAGCGUUCUGUAAGCCUGCGAAGGUGGCCUGUGAGGGUUGCUGGAGGUAUCAGAAGUGCGAAUGCUGACAUAAGUAACGAUAAAGCGGGUGAAAAGCCCGCUCGCCGGAAGACCAAGGGUUCCUGUCCAACGUUAAUCGGGGCAGGGUGAGUCGACCCCUAAGGCGAGGCCGAAAGGCGUAGUCGAUGGGAAACGGGUUAAUAUUCCCGUACUUGGUGUUACUGCGAAGGGGGGACGGAGAAGGCUAUGUUGGCCGGGCGACGGUUGUCCCGGUUUAAGCGUGUAGGUGUGUGUUCCAGGUAAAUCCGGUUCACUUUAACACUGAGGCGUGACGACGAGGCACUACGGUGCUGAAGCAACAAAUGCCCUGCUUCCAGGAAAAGCCUCUAAGCAUCAGGUAACAUCAAAUCGUACCCCAAACCGACACAGGUGGUCAGGUAGAGAAUACCAAGGCGCUUGAGAGAACUCGGGUGAAGGAACUAGGCAAAAUGGUGCCGUAACUUCGGGAGAAGGCACGCUGACACGUAGGUGAAGUGAUUUACUCAUGGAGCUGAAGUCAGUCGAAGAUACCAGCUGGCUGCAACUGUUUAUUAAAAACACAGCACUGUGCAAACACGAAAGUGGACGUAUACGGUGUGACGCCUGCCCGGUGCCGGAAGGUUAAUUGAUGGGGUCAGCGCAAGCGAAGCUCCUGAUCGAAGCCCCGGUAAACGGCGGCCGUAACUAUAACGGUCCUAAGGUAGCGAAAUUCCUUGUCGGGUAAGUUCCGACCUGCACGAAUGGCGUAAUGAUGGCCAGGCUGUCUCCACCCGAGACUCAGUGAAAUUGAACUCGCUGUGAAGAUGCAGUGUACCCGCGGCAAGACGGAAAGACCCCGUGAACCUUUACUAUAGCUUGACACUGAACAUUGAGCCUUGAUGUGUAGGAUAGGUGGGAGGCUUUGAAGUGUGGACGCCAGUCUGCAUGGAGCCGACCUUGAAAUACCACCCUUUAAUGUUUGAUGUUCUAACGUGGACCCGUGAUCCGGGUUGCGGACAGUGUCUGGUGGGUAGUUUGACUGGGGCGGUCUCCUCCUAAAGAGUAACGGAGGAGCACGAAGGUUGGCUAAUCCUGGUCGGACAUCAGGAGGUUAGUGCAAUGGCAUAAGCCAGCUUGACUGCGAGCGUGACGGCGCGAGCAGGUGCGAAAGCAGGUCAUAGUGAUCCGGUGGUUCUGAAUGGAAGGGCCAUCGCUCAACGGAUAAAAGGUACUCCGGGGAUAACAGGCUGAUACCGCCCAAGAGUUCAUAUCGACGGCGGUGUUUGGCACCUCGAUGUCGGCUCAUCACAUCCUGGGGCUGAAGUAGGUCCCAAGGGUAUGGCUGUUCGCCAUUUAAAGUGGUACGCGAGCUGGGUUUAGAACGUCGUGAGACAGUUCGGUCCCUAUCUGCCGUGGGCGCUGGAGAACUGAGGGGGGCUGCUCCUAGUACGAGAGGACCGGAGUGGACGCAUCACUGGUGUUCGGGUUGUCAUGCCAAUGGCACUGCCCGGUAGCUAAAUGCGGAAGAGAUAAGUGCUGAAAGCAUCUAAGCACGAAACUUGCCCCGAGA
rnacentral:rRNA from 1 species